ACCCAAGACAGCAAGACUUCUCAAAGCCAAAAAAAAAAAAAAAAAGGCUCCUUGCCUUGAAAUAAGAAAAGCUCUUCUUCCCAGAAUCCAAUCUAGUCAGACUUCUGAACUAGAUGACAUACUCCUCCUUAGGAAGAUAAGCAAACUACUAUAUGAAAGACAAAAGAGGGAGAUAAAUGACUUCUUUGCAACAAACUAAACAUAUAGGUACUAUAGCAAUGAAGAUUUACAAAGUGCUAAUGUGAUGGCCUAUCUUCUCCACAUUGCUUUAAAGGUAAUACCUUGAGAACAACUCUUAGAAGCAGAAGAAUAAGCAUGUUCUGCACAGAACGAAGGUGCUGUCCAC